UACGUAGGGGGCAAGCGUUGUCCGGAUUUAUUGGGCGUAAAGCGCUCGCAGGCGGUUCCAUGCGUCGUGCGUGAAAGACCCCGGCUCAACUGGGGAGGGUCGUGCGAUACGGUGGGACUCGAGGCCAGUAGGGGGACGCGGAAUUCCGGGUGUAGUGGUGGAAUGCGUAGAGAUCCGGAGGAACACCAGCGGCGAAGGCGGCCUGCUGGGCAGUAGGCUGACGCUGAGGCGCGACAGCGUGGGGAGCAACAGG
rnacentral:rRNA from 1 species